rnacentral:tRNA from 1 species
GGAGACGUGCCCGAGUGGCCGAUGGGAGCGCCUUGCUAAGGCGUCGUACGGGUAACACCGUACCGUGAGUUCAACUCUCACCGUCUCCG